AGAGUUUGAUUCUGGCUCAGGAUGAACGCUAGCUACAGGCUUAACACAUGCAAGUCGAGGGGCAGCAGGACGAUAGCUUGCUAUUGUUGCUGGCGACCGGCGCACGGGUGAGUAACGCGUAUCCAACCUUCCCCUUAGUAGGGCAUAGCCCGGUGAAAAUCGGAUUAAUACCCUAUGUUGUGUCAUGAGGACAUCUGAAUAACACUAAAGAUUUAUCGCUAAGGGAUGGGGAUGCGUCCGAUUAGGUAGUCGGCGGGGUAACGGCCCACCGAGCCCUCGAUCGGUAGGGGUUCUGAGAGGAAGGUCCCCCACACUGGUACUGAGACACGGACCAGACUCCUACGGGAGGCAGCAGUGAGGAAUAUUGGUCAAUGGGCGCGAGCCUGAACCAGCCAAGUAGCCGUGCAGGAUGACGGCCCUAUGGGUUGUAAACUGCUUUUAUACGGGGAUAAAGUGAGGGACGUGUCCCUUAUUGUAGGUACCGUAUGAAUAAGGACCGGCUAAUUCCGUGCCAGCCGCAGC
rnacentral:rRNA from 1 species